rnacentral:rRNA from 1 species
UACGGAGGGGGCUAGCGUUAUUCGGAAUUACUGGGCGUAAAGCGCACGUAGGCGGAUUGGAUAGUUGGAGGUGAAAUCCCAGGGCUCAACCUUGGAACUGCCUUCAAAACUUCCAGUCUUGAGGUCGAGAGAGGUGAGUGGAAUUCCGAGUGUAGAGGUGAAAUUCGUAGAUAUUCGGAGGAACACCAGUGGCGAAGGCGGCUCACUGGCUCGAUACUGACGCUGAGGUGCGAAAGCGUGGGGAGCAAACAGG